AUGACCGACCGAUCAUUCUCAACCAACCAGCAGCUCAACACAGCCCUAGAGCAGCAAACAUACUACAGUGUACAGGGAGAACGGUUUCUAACACAGAUUGGACUGCAGGAAGAGCAUGUACACGGAAGGCCCAUUGCUUUUCACUUCCAAAGAGUUAGAUCACUCUGCUUGACGAUGAUGAUUGUUCUGGCUCCCAGAGGUGACAAAGCAAUUUUAAGGACAGUGGUGAGCGCCGGUGAGUACAGCGGCCUCUACAGGUGGCGGGAGCGGCGGUCAAUAUCAUGGGCAUGGCUUGGGGAGCGGUGCUUGCAUCAACCGGCGGGGAGCGCAUCUGCUGCCAAAAAGCCAAGUGAGCUCAGGACAAUGGCUAUGAGGAGGAUGGAGACGCAGCUUGUACUUAUUUAUUGUCACAAAAAGAAACACAUUAUGCAGCAGAGGAUUAAUGAAACUGACGUGUCUUAUGGUCCACGAUGUUCACCUCUUCUGUUGCGGGGGAAGCCAGAAAUGCUAGAAAGGCAGUGA
rnacentral:rRNA from 1 species